rnacentral:lncRNA from 1 species
GUUCGACAUGUCGACUAUCUAAAAUUCAUAACAUGAAAAUAAACAAAUAAUAUUAAUUUUUGGGUUUACCAAAAAAAAAAUCAAACAUUUUAACUGAAUAAACUAAAAUGAAUAUUAAUUUAAAAUAAUAAUAUUUUAAAAGAUUAAAAACCAAAAAAAAAAUCUUAAAACCGGACAAAUAUCCAAAUUAAACAGAUUUAAUAUCUUUUAUUAAAAAUAAUGAAACUAAUAAUCACAUUCUGCGCAAGGCGUGGAUUAUUCUCUAGUAUUGUUUUAUAAGGUAAAUUGAAAGAAAAUUACUAGAAAACAUAGAAAAUUAUAUUUAUUGCACCCACUGAUUUAUUUUAUACACUUUUUG